AGUGAACGCUGGCGGUAGGCCUAACACAUGCAAGUCGAACGGCAGCACAGUAAGAGCUUGCUCUUACGGGUGGCGAGUGGCGGACGGGUGAGGAAUACAUCGGAAUCUACUUUUUCGUGGGGGAUAACGUAGGGAAACUUACGCUAAUACCGCAUACGACCUACGGGUGAAAGCAGGGGAUCUUCGGACCUUGCGCGAUUCAAUGAGCUGAUGUCGGAUUAGCUAGUUGGCGGGGUAAAGGCCCACCAAGGCGACGAUCCGUAGCUGGUCUGAGGGGAUGAUCAGCCACACUGGAACUGAGACACGGUCCAGACUCCUACGGGAGGCAGCAGUGGGGAAUAUUGGACAAUGGGCGCAAGCCUGAUCCAGCCAUACCGCGUGGGUGAAGAAGGCCUUCGGGUUGUAAAGCCCUUUUGUUGGGAAAGAAAAGCAGCAGGUUAAUACCCCGCUGUUCUGACGGUACCCAAAGAAUAAGCACCGGCUAACUUCGUG
rnacentral:rRNA from 1 species